rnacentral:rRNA from 1 species
ACCCAGACUCCUACGGGAGGCAGCAGUGGGGAAUAUUGCACAAUGGGGGAAACCCUGAUGCAGCGACGCCGCGUGAAGGAAGAAGUAUUUCGGUAUGUAAACUUCUAUCAGCAGGGAAGAAAAUGACGGUACCUGACUAAGAAGCCCCGGCUAACUACGUGCCAGCAGCCGCGGUAAUACGUAGGGGGCAAGCGUUAUCCGGAUUCACUGGGUGUAAAGGGAGCGUAGACGGCCAUGCAAGCCUGGAGUGAAGGCCCGGGGCCCAACCCCGGGACUGCUCUGGGAACUGUGCGGCUGGAGUGCGGGAGGGGCAGGCGGAAUUCCUGGUGUAGCGGUGAAAUGCGUAGAUAUCAGGAGGAACACCGGCGGCGAAGGCGGCCUGCUGGACCGCGACUGACGUUGAGGCUCGAAAGCGUGGGGAGCAAACAGGAUUAGAUACCCCAGUA